rnacentral:snRNA from 1 species
AUCGCUUCUCAGCCUUUUCGCUAGGAUCAAGUGUAGUAUCUGUUUUUAUCAGUUUAAUAUCUGAUACAUUAAAAUUUUUUUUAAAUUAAAAAAAUAAAUAAGUAAAGUCUGUCUUCCUUAAAGUUAGGGGGAAAGCAAAAGUUC